CCCUAAGGUUUUUAGCUAAGCGUUUUUUGGGGUCUAAUGUCAAAAUAGGUCCGUGGCAAUUCUGAGAGUAAAAGCAUGGUUUUAAAAAAGAACAAAGAAAAAAAAAAAAGGUUGAUACCUGUUCAGCUACAUUUUGGGUGAGUCUGGGUAAAGCUACUUUUACCCUGUUAAGGAUAGGGAGGGCCCUAACCAUUCUAUCCCCAGAUUCCUGUUCUUACAGUGUCCUACUGGCAACUUCUAAAACAUAGAGUGUGAACUCUCUUUUCUUGGUUUUAAGGCUAGAAUUUCAGAAAUGAUUUCAAAUUUGAUCACCCCAUUCUCAUUUUCUGUAGGCUCUGGCAAGCCGGUUGUCCAUGACCAAGCUUGCAAGUGCACAUUUUAAACUGAAGUAAUCCUAUCCCUAGCCAUGAGAUCUCUCGCUUCAUUUCAAAGAGCAAGUCUCCCAGCAUUCAGCCUGCAGGAAACCUCUGGAUUACAGGACGGCCAGUUUUCCUCUGCUUUGCCUGGCAUCAUGAUUUCCCUGACAUCGCCCAUGUUCAAAUGUAUCCAUUCUGGUGGAAUGCCUCCCGGCUUUUGCCAAGUGGCUCAAAUGACAUUUGCUACUAAAAGGAAGAUUAACUUCUUAUUAUUCCAUCCAGCCAAUAAUAUAAUUUUGUAUUAUUCAUUUGUUAUUAUUAAUGCCUUAAUAAUAAGGGAUUGUGGAACACACUCAAGAUUCUGCUUUCCUGCAACCAACUGGCCAGUUCUUCUUCGGUCUCAAAUACUUGCAUUCCCAUUCCUCAUUUGCGGCAAGCUCUCACCAUCUCCGUUGCCGUGGGACAUCAGGAAAGCUUGGAUUUGUUGAGUGAACCUGUGCACAUGAGGGAUGGGUCUCAUUUGGAUCUCCACUGACAUCUAUCAUGAUAAAGAACAACCACUGGGCUACCUACUUCACUGGUACUACAUAUUGCUCAUGGCCUGUUUUUUCUUUCAGCCCUUCCAAUUAUCUUCCUUUCCCAGGCUUUACAAUGUGCUGAAUAAUUUUCACUAUUUUGAAAUAUGAGAGAAAGGUUCUGCUAAGAAGAGGAAAAAAAGCAGCAAAAUGAGAAAUAUGUUUAUUCCCAUUAUGUCUCAGAGAUUCUUGGGCAAGAGAUUAUCACCCAUGAGAUCUAUUAUUGCCCUCAGUAAGAACCAGCUUAGUAGAGGUAGAGUGGCUUUUGGAAAAUGCUUGUUAUCUUGAAUCCAAAGUAAUAAUUAAUCGGUGUGAAUCUGAAGUAUUAAGUAAUGAAAUAUAAGAAAUAAUGAUAAAAUCUAAAACUCCAAAUGAGAUUUCUUGAAAAAAUCUUUCAUGUCACCAAGGAAAUAUGCCUUUCUAUCUCUAACCAUCUCAACCACCAUGAUGGAUUAGCGAGAUUAAAACAAUAACUCUGUCUCUAUCACUGACUAUGAUAAUAGGUGUCCUUUAUCC
ensembl:lincRNA